UGCUGAUUUUUUUUUUUGGAAACGCGCUAUAAAUCGAAAUUCAUGUAGAUAGAGAAUUAAAAAUCCGGAAUGUACAAUGGGUUUGAGUUUGUAAAGUAGAAGAUUUAAGAAAUUAUAUCAUAUAUAAACAUAACCUAUAAAUAUUCCGGCUUGUCAAACUUUGUACUCACGUUCUAUGCACAAUUCUUGUAAAUUAAGCUAUUCUUCAUCACUAUCACACUUCACUAAUGUACACAAUAAUAAUAGUUUCAAUAUAAAUUUUACUGCAUGAACUAAUUUUCUUUUCGCGAACGAAACCCACAGCAAGCAUAUUUGUACUUUGUUUAUUCAUCCGCCUUACGUUUCUUGUGAUUGCGAAAUGAAAAUGAUGAUUACUAGUGUUUAUAAACUUGUUUUUCAUAUAAUUUUGACCAAAUAUCACUUUACUUUCUUUCAAAAACGAUAAUUAAUCCGUAAGAUCGCUCUUUAUUUAUUUUCCAAAACGUCAAACUAAAUUGUCAAAACAAAGCUAAAAGUGAAGAAUAUUGAUCUAUGAUCCAUUUCAAAACUAUUUAGUACAUUUGUAGUCUGUUAAGCCUUUCUGUCAGUAAAAAAGGUGGUAAAUUUAAAAAAUAUACGUGAAAGGGAACUUCGCGCCUUCUUCCCUUGACAUAGCGAACCGCCAGCGUAUGUUUCAUAAACUAGAAACUUCAUCUUAACUCCAUCUAGUGCCGAGCAGCGACACCAUGGCUGUCAGUGCUACUAUUUACCGUUAGAUGGCGUCGUAAUGAUAAUUUAGAAAAUUCCAUUUUACGACCCGAAACACUACGACUAUAUGUUUAUAAUUGUAUAUUACAUAAUAAGACGAGUGAAAUUUAUUAAAGAUAGAAAUCUAUUGCCUAUAAUCCCUAAAUUACUUUGCUUUUCGGAAAUUUAUAGAUCGUCUAAGUACCCCUACUCGUCCCUAGAUGGUUCCACUAGCGCUAGUUUGGCAUAUUAUUUUAUUUUCUAUUCAAAAUUUUAUCCGCAUUUAUUUAUGUUUAAAGAUAUAUAAUUUGCAAUAUACUUAUUAAUUAUUUUUAACGCUAAAUGAAAUCGAUCGUGUAAACAUGCCUUUUUGUCAUAGACAAUAUCUUUUCUAAGGUUGAUCUAUGUGCGUGCGCUCGUAUAAUGCAACAAAAUUGAAAAUACGUCCUACGAACCCUAACAACAUGCAUAACGCAGCCUACGCAAUUUAGUCGGCUUGUGGCUGACUUUGUUAAGGUUCCCCAUAGAUGGCGUAACUAACUAGAAUCAAAAUAAUUUAAUAGAAUGCAAAAAUUUUAGUAUUGAAGGUCUUAAAUAUAUAUAUUUUAUAUUAAUUUGAAUAAUAAAGACACAUUUAAUCAAUUAGUAAAUUAAAAUAAUUGAUUCAAUCACGUCACGUCACACCAUAUCAUUCUAGACUGUGUCAAAUCUUACAAAGGAAUUUUGCCCCUGGCAGCUCUAGGCUCUGUCACUUUAUUUACUUCCGUUCUUUUAGAUUCAUAUUAGUAGUUUUUUUAUACAGCAUUCAUUUUCCUUGCCUAAAAUUUGUUAUUAAAUCCCAAAAUUAUUAAUUAAAUUCAAAAAUACCAAAGAUACCUCAACUACCAGUGUCACAGUGUUUCAACACCUUAAUAAGCAGACAAGUGACAAACAUCCAACCACCAUAUUGUAAUUCAUCAAGUUGCAUAGAGAAAGUUGACAAAUAAUAAUUACCAUUACCAUGACAGAAGUUUAAACUGAACUGGAAAAGAUCGUCCUCGAGUCGAGUGCGCUUUUUAUGAUUCUCUUAAUAUCCCACCCAUUGCAUAUCGCAAGAACUGUACAAGACAAACGAAAUAGAAUUUCGGAUUCAAACACGAUCAUGUUCUUCACUUUCGUCAAAAAUGUAUAAAUCUUCAAUGAAUCUAGUGCCGUAAGAUGACCUAUUACCUAAUGUUUAAACUAUCUAGAACCAGGGAUGUUUAAUUAAUGUGCCUAGCUACUUACAGUGCGAGUGAAAUAAACUUAAAAUAUGGAAACUGUUCCUACAAGCAAGCAGGCUGACAACUAUUGAAUGUGGUGUGGACAAGUCAUUACUGAAGAAAAAUAUGUUGAAAUUACACUGUGAGACUCCGUUUACUGAUUUUGAUGAAUCUUUCCUGAGCUUUAAGACAAACAGAGUCAACUCUGAUGGCUGCCUAUAUAUACCUAUACCUAGCGAUCUUGUGAUAUUUAUGCGGAGUGGAGCAAACUUCCAUUUGCUGUUUUCAUGGGCUUUUCCGAGUCUCUCGAUAAUCUCCAAUGCUAUUUGGGACAUUGUCCGAGCCACACAGCGAGUCUAUCAUCCACCUGACCUCUAUCUUUCUCCUGCUGACUGCUUCUAUUUAUGAAAGAUUAUGAAGAAGCAGACCACUCCAGACUCCUGUUCAAUGACUUUAUUUCACGACUUUUGCUGCAACAAUGGCUGCUGUCUUCUGACACUUGAAAGCUCCCGUUCAACGGCUCUAGUACAAGAAAACUGCUCCUACAUCAGCAGUGGUCUACAUUGAAUACUACUUAUAGGGAAAAUUUCACUCAAGAUCUUCCUUUAUAUUAGGUAUCAAGGCGCAAGAAGGUGAAUUUAUAAUUGAUUAUUAUGUGAUGACAAUUCUUAGCUGAGGAAUAUGAAAAGAAUCCCUAACAACGGCGAGAACGAGUAAAGAAGAUUGAUAAACUUAUUAAGUAGACAAUAACUCUAAGGUUUUUUCUAAGUAGACAAUAGCUAUGGAUUUUGUUGUAUAUAGUAAUAGUUUCAGAAAUAAACAUUAGGUUUCAUGAG